CCUUGGAGUGGCUGGCUGGCAUGCUGUGUGUCUCUGUGCCCUCCACUGCUAUUGCAUAUCGGGUGAGCUGCUGGGAAGACCGGGCUGACUGUCGUAGCGAGGUUCUGAGCCAAGGUGUGGAUAUCAAGGGCCAGGCGAUCCCUAGGGGCCCUGACUGACAGCAAGCUUUGAAGUCCUGCCUUGGGCUUUGUUAUGAGACCAGGGCGCUGUGAGCUCCCCAGUGAAGCUGAGAAAUACUGUCAGGCUAGUGAACUGCUGAGAGAGACCCCCGCUCUCCCCUCCCUCCUGCCCAGCAGUGAGGCUGGACCGAGGACCCUGGCGCAGAGACAGCCAUCAAACUGUUCACCCUCUUCAGCUGGCAGGAAAGGAAAGCGAUGGAAUCAGAGGGGCCCCUGAGAGCGUGAGAGCAGUGAUCUUGAAACUGUGUCAUCGUCAGGGUUCUGUAUGCAAGGAGGGAGUGA